rnacentral:rRNA from 1 species
UACGUAGGGGGCGAGCGUUGUCCGGAAUCAUUGGGCGUAAAGAGCGUGUAGGCGGCUUGGCAAGUCUGACGUGAAAGCCCGCGGCUCAACCGCGGAUUGUCGUUGGAAACUGCCUCGCUAGAGUCCGGAAGAGGAGAGUCGGAAUUCCUGGUGUAGCGGUGGAAUGCGCAGAUAUCAGGAAGAACACCCGUGGCGAAGGCGGCUCUCUGGGGACGGUACUGACGCUGAGACGCGAAAGCGUGGGGAGCGAACAGG